AAAAAGACAAACCCUGGAUUUCCGUGCCAACGUUUGACUGUCCGUCUUAUAUGAAUUUUUUUUAUAAUUAGUAUUUUCAUUGUUGUUAGAUGAUAAAUCAUGAUUAAUAUUUUAUACGUGACUUAUCUUUUUUAUAAUUUUUUCAAAUAAAACGAAUGGUCAAAAGUUGGACACGGAAAUCAGGGUAACGUUUACU
rnacentral:pre_miRNA from 1 species